UUAGGGUUAAGUGACCUUUGGGAUUCUUCUCUUCUCCCUCUCAUGAUCGUGAAGCAGCAACAGCGCCGCGGAAAGCCUUUCUCCUCCAACGGAACCGACAUCACCACACAGCCACCGUGAAUUAUCACCUCUCAUCUCGACUCUCUUCUAUCUCUGGUCUCCACGCGUUCUCAAUCUCUCUCUCUUCUCAAAUCCCAUGUUCUCUCUCGGUUCUCUCAGAUCAAUCGAAAUCACGCCUUUACUGAUCAGAGAAGCUUUGACGGCUUCUUCCACGGCGGUGAGACAGAAGAUAAAAAACAAAGGUCACCACUCAGUUGUUGAUACGUGGAUGGAGUUGAUGCGGGUUGAAGGUUCCUUCUGAGUUUGUGAAGACUUGAAGGAUCGAUCGAAGAAGAUGAAGAGGGUAUGCCGUUUUCUUUUUCUUCUGCAAAUUGAUGAAUGGUGACUGAAGGUUAAAGAAAAACGGUUAUGGCGAAAGGUUGAAUGAAGAUUGGAUCGAGAGAGAUGGGGUAAAGGGAAGGAUUUCUGUUAGAGGUUGUUAUGAGGUGAAUUUGAGAGAAGGUGUGAAGUAUGAAGAAAAGUCAAGGUUGAAGAUGAGAGAGAGCAGAAGAAUCGAUGGAGGGAGAAUGAUUCGGUUACAGGUGAGUGUGUAUGAAGAUUUUUGUAUGUUUGAGAAAAGUUUUUGCAGAGAGUAUCAUCUGUUUUUCUUCUCUGCAGAGAUUAUGAAGUAUAUGGUGUUUGAAUGUGGUUUGGAUUUAUGUUAGAGGACUUUCCUUGUCAAAGACUAACAAGCCUAGCUGAGUGGUUCUCAUGCUAGGCUUUGUCAGGCCGUGGUUCAGCUUGAGCGGCUAUGUGAAUUGGCUAAACUUCAUCAGUUGAGUCCAGGUAUUUGAUAUAUUACUGGCGUCAUUUAUGAGAACUGUGCUGAACACAUACAAGUCAAAAUUUACCCAGGUAUACUUUUGUUAUUUUUUGUAGUGUAUCUAACUUGCCUGUAUUAUGUUCCUUGUUGGUACCAUAAGUUGCUAUCUUUGUGAAGCAAUGGAUUUUAGAUUAUGAAUGAGUAAUCUCUGAAUGCUUUUGCAUGGGGUUGGUAUGUUUUUUUUUUGUAUUGAAAUAUAUUUGUUAUUUAAGUUGUAUUUUGGAUUUCGAGUCUUGAUGUCUUUUUUUCAUGUCAUUAAUCUGCGUAGUCUUGGCAUUAUGUGCUUAAAUUCAACUCAGCUGCCUGCUGUACUUGUCUCACAGUUCGUGUAUACAAGUAUUUAUGUGUAUAUCUAUAUAUAGAUGUUUUAUAUAUGUGUGCAUUUCAGAUUCUUUAUGGGAUAUCUGCCUUUUAGCUGUUGAAGAGAGAGACAGAAUGAUAACAUUUUAAAGAGAUUCUUUAUGGUAUAUCUAUUUACUGUUUUGAUCUGAACCUGUGGUUUUGAUUGGUUUUGUGGAGAUGAAUUGGGCAUUAAUCAUAAGCUAUUGUAAAGAGAUUGGUUGAGCUGUGUUUCUUUUUACAGGUAGCUAAGCAAGACACCAACCAUGAAGUGUAGACAUUAAUGAUGAAGAAUUGAGUCUUGAGGAAUAGAAGACAAUCA